rnacentral:snRNA from 1 species
UGGUUUCUUUUCAGAUCGUAUAAAUCUUUUUUGCCUUUUACUAAAGAUUUCUGUGGAGAGGAACAUUUAU